UUACUGGUUACUCACUCAAGCUUUAAGGUGGAACCAAGUCUAUAGGUGGACCUUCAAGGACAGGCUCUAUCACAGAUAUGCAGAGGAAGACUUGCCUGGGAUUGAUAUAUUUGUUUGCACGGCAGAUUCCACCGUAGAGCCACCAAUAAUGGUGAUCAACACUGUCUUUUCUGUUAUGGCUUAUGAUUAUCCAGCAAAAAAGUUGAGUGUGUAUCUUUCUGACGACGGCGGAUCAAACCUUACAUUUUAUGCUCUGCUGGAGGCAUCUAAUUUUGCAAGAUAUUGGAUACCAUAUUGCAAAAAAUUCAAAGUGGAGCCGAGGUCACCUGCAGCUUAUUUUGCUUCAGGUACUAAUCCAAAUCAUUAUGGUGAGACCACAGCUAUUAAGAAAUUAUAUGAAGAAAUGGAAGACCGAAUUGAAACUGCAACCAAGUUAGGUCGAAUCCCUGAAGAAGCACGCUUGAAACAUAGAGGAUUUUCACAGUGGGAUUCAUACUCUUCACGGCAUGAUCAUGACACCGU
rnacentral:misc_RNA from 1 species